rnacentral:tRNA from 1 species
GAGGGUAUAGCUCAGUAGAGCGCAUGCUUAGCAAGCACAGGGUCCUGGGUUCAAUCCCCAGUACCUCCU